rnacentral:rRNA from 1 species
GGAAGAGAAAGCAAAUGCGAUUCCCUGAGUAGCGGCGAGCGAAACGGGAUUAGCCCAAACCAAGAGGCUUGCCUCUUGGGGUUGUAGGACACUCUGUACGGAGUUACAAAGGAACGAGGUAGAUGAAGAGGUCUGGAAAGGCCCGCCAUAGGAGGUAACAGCCCUGUAGUCAAAACUUCGUUCUCUCCUGAGUGGAUCCUGAGUACGGCGGAACACGUGAA